rnacentral:rRNA from 1 species
CCCGGCACAAGCGGUGGAGCAUGUGGUUUAAUUCGAUGAUACGCGAGGAACCUUACCUGGGCUCAAAUGUAUGUUGACGUAUUCUGAAAGGGAUACUUCUUCGGACAAUAUACAAGGUGCUGCAUGGUUGUCGUCAGCUCGUGCCGUGAGGUGUCGGGUUAAGUCCCAUAACGAGCGCAACCCCUAUCAUUAGUUGCCAUCAGGUCAAGCUGGGGACUCUAAUGAAACUGCCUACGCAAGUAGUGAGGAAGGUGGGGAUGACGUCAAAUCAGCACGGCCCUUACGUCCAGGGCUACACACGUGCUACAAUGGCCGGUACAAAGGGCAGCUACCUGGUGACAGGAUGCUAAUCUCAAAAGCCGGUCUCAGUUCGGAUCGGAGUCUGCAACUCGACUCCAUGAAGUUGGAAUCGCUAGUAAUCGUGGAUCAGCAUGCCACGGUGAAUACGUUCCCGGGCCUU